rnacentral:misc_RNA from 1 species
UGUGGAGGAGGACGCCGAAGGUGGGGCUAAUGACUGGGGUGAAGUCGUAACAAGGUAGCCGUACCGGAAGGUGCGGCUGGAUCACCUCCUAACAGGGAGACAACAAAAUGUUAAAUAUUAAUUUUGUCACCUUAGGUCGAUCGGUAUCUCAGGUUCUUAAUUACUUUAAGAAUUUCAUUUCCUAAGUUUUUUCUCGGUCACACCCAUUACUUUCCCUGGGCCAUUAGCUCAGGUGGUUAGAGCGCACCCCUGAUAAGGGUGAGGUCCCUGGUUCAAGUCCAGGAUGGCCCAUAUCUCUAUGUUGGGGGUAUAGCUCAGUUGGUAGAGCGCCUGCUUUGCAAGCAGGAUGUCAGCGGUUCGAGUCCGCUUACCUCCACUGAUUACCACCUCUUCCAUAAAUUUAAAGAAGGGAAUAGUUAUGAGCGUUGAUUUACUUCUGAACGAAUCUAGCUUCCUAAUAAAUACAUUAAGAUGCUGGACUCAUUGAAUUUUAUUCAUUGUUUUCAGAGAACCUUGACAACUGCAUAGAUUAUUUUUAAAGACAAUAAGCAUCUUUAAUGAUGCAGAUUUAUUAUUUGUGCUAAUGCAUUAAUAACAAUUCUAUUGAGCUGAUGCUUCAAUUAUUUGAAGUUAUUGGUCAAGCUACAAAGGGCUCACGGAGGAUACCUAGGCACACAGAGGCGAUGAGG